rnacentral:piRNA from 1 species
UGGUACCAAUCAAGAAGCUGUUUUGUCCC